UACAGAGGUCCCGAGCGUUGUUCGGAAUUACUGGGCGUAAAGGGCGCGUAGGCGGCCUGGCAAGUCGGGCGUGAAAGGCCUGGGCUCAACCGAGGAACUGCUUUCGAGACUGCCAAGCUAGAGUGCGGAAGGGGCAUCUGGAAUUCCCAGUGUAGCGGUGAAAUGCGUAGAUAUUGGGAAGAACACCUGAGGCGAAGGCGGGAUGCUGGGCCGACACUGACGCUGAGGCGCGAAAGCCAGGGGAGCAAACGGG
rnacentral:rRNA from 1 species